GACGAACGCUGGCGGCGUGCCUAAUACAUGCAAGUCGAACGAGAGCGACCGGUUCUUGCACUGGUCAAUCUAGUGGCGAACGGGUGAGUAACACGUGGGUAACCUGCCCAUCAUAGGGGGAUAACAUCCGGAAACGGAUGCUAACACCGCAUAGGUCUUCGAGCCGCAUGGCUUGAAGAGGAAAAGAGGCGCAAGCUUCUGCUGAUGGAGGGACCCGCGGUGCAUUAGCUAGUUGGGGAGGUAACGGCUCACCAAGGCCGUGAUGCAUAGCCGACCUGAGAGGGUGAUCGGCCACAUGGGGACUGAGCCACGGCCCAAACUCCUACGGGAGGCAGCAGUAGGGAAUCUUCCGCAAUGGACGCAAGUCUGACGGAGCAACGCCGCGUGAGUGAAGAAGGUUUUCGGAUCGUAAAACUCUGUUGUUAGAGAAGAACAAGUGCUAGAGUAACUGUUAGCGCCUUGACGGUAUCUAACCAGAAAGCCCCGGCUAACUACGUG
rnacentral:rRNA from 1 species